ensembl:lncRNA
AUGGUUGUAGCUGUAUAUUCAGGUUUUUCAACCCAGAACAGACUGCCCAUGGAAAGAAAAUGGUGCCCACUUCCUGCAACUGCAAGGCUGAGGCUGAAACCCAAGCAGAAACAUUACACCUGUGUUGAUAUCUUCACUCAAAGAAAACUGCCAAAAACUGAAGUACUUGUCCAGAAUAGCUGUUUUUGCUCCUGUACCUGAAAAUCAGUCCAGCGCCCAUCCCUACCAGUGGAUGUCAUAGAUGCAAGUGGACCCCGCUGGAAGAAAUCUUCAGACAAUUUGCUGUGCUACAGGAGGAGUUUAACAGGUGGUGGAGGGCCUGGGAAUAUGAGAGAGAGGUCAAUAACUGGUAUUGUGUGCUGUCCCAGACUGACCAACAGCCCAGCCUUGAGGCUGUACAAGGGAAUCUAACCUCAAACUUUCUGACACGAGCAACUCAUGAGAUAAAGGAGAUUGCAUAAUUUUCUCUGCAUGGAGAAUCUUCCCCUGAAGUGUCUCUAUACAACAAAUACUGUGCUCUGGGCAUGCGCAGUGAAUGUCACAGUAAUAAUGGACAGGAUCCAGGAAACCCCAACCAUUCAAUACCAUCCCUUGUGUGAGAAACAGUAGCUUCAGAAAAAGAUGUAAUUGGAGAUUCCUUACCGUGAGCCACCAAAGCACUUAUUUCUCAUCCAGAUUUUUCUCCAGAGAAGUUCACUGCCUAUCAACAGAUUGCAUUCACAACGUCACUGCGAGGCUGCUGAGCCUACUGAACCCUACAAAUUACCAUCUGCUACAAUACCAUUCUAUAUAGGGUCUGUGGCAAGACAAUUCUGAACACUCUGAAAAGAUUGUAUAUCCCUCAGAGCAAUAUCAAAUCCCCUGGGGAUUUGAUCACAUUCUCCUCUGUCCUCACAGGCAGACAUACGAGUUCAGGAAAGAGGAGUCAAAUUGAAAGGUGAAUGCCUGGCUGCGUGGCUGAUGCCACACUCAAGGUUUGGCUUCCACGAUUGUGGACCUGCCUUUGGAAGCAGGGCCUGUUGUGAGCUUGUGAGAUUCACCUGACAAAGUAGGCAGAAGGCUGUUCACC